AAGCGUCGUCUCCCCGGCGCAGGCACAGCGACGCGCUCCCUGCUCGCUGAUGCCCGUCACAUACUCACCUUUCCCUUUCUCUUUGCCGUGUUCACUCCGAAAUGGUGUCCGUGUUAGUACAGAGGCAGCAACAUGAGACCGCCAGGCGCAAGGAGCGCCUUCGCGCCGCCCACCAGGCAGCGGCGGCGCUCUCCAUCCAGCAGGCUCGCGCCUAUCAGAAGCAGAAGCGGCAACAGGAGGCGUGCGUUCGCGAGGACGCCCGUCAGCUGUGGUUGCAAUCGAACGCGCGCGACUUGGCGGCCAUCGAAAGACUCGUUGCGCGCGCCACUACCGAGCAGGGCGAAGCAGAGGAGGCGGCUGGGCACUACGAGGCCAAUCUGCAGGCGGAGGCGUGCGAGGAGGCGGCCGCGUGGCAGGCGGAGCGGCAGUUGGAGGAAGCACGGCACCGCCUCGCCGUUGCCUACACCCGAACACAGACGCAUGAGCGGACGAAGCCGGCACGCCAAGCCGAGCAGCGUCGUACAGCCGUGCGUGUGACGGAGAAGGUGAGGGCGGCGCGGGUGGCGGCUGCGGCACCGGCGGCCCUUUCUCUGUCGAGCGUUCUAGGCAGCUUGCAGGGCGCGCCAGUGGCCACGCACGUACCGCGCGCCAGCGUCCCCGUGCCGCGACCAAGUCUCGAGCCCCUGCGUAACGUUGCUGGGUCAACCGCUGGAGCAGCCCUUGCCGAUGCCCCGCCUGCUGCACAGUCGCCCCUGCGCCGUUGGCGCAUAUCCCACGUCGCCCCGCACGUGCAUGUCACCUUGCACGGUGACCCGACGCAUCGCGUCACCGCUCGUGAAGAGAACGAGAUAAGCGCUCUGGCGGCCGCGGAUGAUGCAGUCCCUGCUUCUGCAGACGCCUAUGCAGCAGAAUGUGCAGCUGUCCAGCAGCAGAGGGACGAGGUACUGAAAGUCGGCCGAGAGCGUGCAGCGCAGAGGGCUGCGUCUCUCUUGCGCCACCAGCGUGCGAAGGAGCUGCAGGAAGAGGAGGAGCAGCAGACACAGCGGGAGCGGCUUGCUGCGGUCAAGGAACGCUACCGUCACCCACACGAAGAAGGCGCCCCAAGUGGCGGCAAGAAAGCCGCGGCGCCGGAAGUCGGCACACACCCUGCCACAGCCACAACCGGCAGCAGCAGCGGCAGUAACGGCAGUCCGAAUCACCAACACCGACGUCCUCAACGGCAGCGUACGCCUCAGCGGCUUGCCUGCCAUCAGCAAGCAUACAUAAAGGGCGAAGAAGAAUUCCGCGCGGCGUUCGUGGAGGCGCCACCCCUCGUGGUGCGCCUGGAUGAAGAGCCGCCGCGUCGUGCACCGCUAAGCGAGCUCUUGAGACCCGUGAAGGUGGCGGAACUGCUGUACAGCAUUGCAAACUCUGUCCCAGUAGAUCCCACUCCAGUCACACCGGCGCCGCAUCAUGGAUCCGGCGCCGCCGCAGCCGGUUCACCGUCUUUUCCGAUGACAGACGAGGUGCUGCCAUCCGCGCAACCCUCCGCCAGAGCGCGCGUGCUGCCAUCAGUGCCUCUCCGCAUGCUGCCCCUCGAUGAGCGAAGCAGCGCUGCUCGCGCGAAAGCUGAGUCGGCACCAGAGGACAGGGCUGCUGCGACAACACCUCUGAGCAGCGGCGAGGAGGGCUGCUCGUUGCCGCCGCCGCCACCUGCGCCGAGAGGCUCCAGCGGCGCGCCACGCGCUUCUCUUCGCGCGUCUGCAGAGGCGUCGACCGCACCGUCGCCGAUGCGGCUCGAUGUUCCAGUGAGCCGUACAUCGCGCGCGCGGACGCCGUCGCCAGAGAAGGCUGCGACUGUAGAGGAGCUUGUCGCUCUCUCUCCUCUCACCCCGGCUCCCCCUGCGGCGGGCACAUGCGUGCCCGAGUCACCGUCUCCGCCGCCACCGUGCGCUGGGGGGGCUUUGAGAGAGCUUGCUCAAACAGCUGCUAACAUGGGUGCUUCAGAUGUGACGAUGGCUUAUCGGCAGCAGCCCUUGACAGCGCCAGGGGGGAGACGGGCCACUUCCGCCCACGAGAAUGCGCCAGCAUCGCCAUCUGCGCUAUCCUCGAUGAUGGAGCGCACACCGGCUCACCACCGCCACCGUCGCAGCGCCACGCCGCCGUCGUCGCUGUCCUCCUCCACUACCACCACCACUGAGACUGCCGAGCCGCCGAGCGGCUCCUCUUCCCCGGCCUCCGUGGAAGGCAGCAGCAGCAGCGGUACCGACGCCUCCUCCUCUUCAUAUGACAGCGCCAGCACCAGUGGAUCGUCACGCCACCCGAUGCCGGUGAUGACGGCGGAACAGCUAAAGCUGGCACUCCUGCGUCUGCGCAGCCGCAUCAGGUCAGCACAGAUGUAGCGUUGAGGGGACGGGGAGAACGCGCGAGGGGAACACUGGUGGCGCGUGCUCGCCAUGGGCUCCUCCCUUUCGAAGCCUUCAGAGAUUGCCUCGCUGUCAUGAAAGGCACACACGGGCACACACACGCAGAGUUGCUUCUUCAGGCGCUGUGGGUCUCUUUGUUCUGCGCCUUCCCGCCGUGCGCAGGCGCGUCGCGUUGUUCGUAUUUCCAUCGUCUCUCAUGCUCGAUGCAUGCGUAUUAGAUUUAGAAGGGCGCAGAGACACUGCCAGACAUACAUGCUUACAGACGUGCAGGCAUAGACAUGAGCCGCCCGCUAUCUCCCCCCCCCCUCUCCUCCGCUUCGCCUACUGCCUGCCGUGAUCUGUGGGAGAGUCGCUGAGCGGAUGGGGGUGGGGGGGCGGGCGGGACCGUCGACUGUCGCACCAGGAGAAACAAAACAGCAGUUGUACAAGGUUAGACGUCGGGAGAAUGCCUUCCCAUUCACGCACUCACAUGACGGUGUACGAAGGGGGAGGAAGCAGCAACAAGAGGCUUCGAGGAUGUCCUCUGCCCACUGGGCAAGGGCGCAGCGGCCGUCGGCUCAGAGAGCCAUCUCCUCCUCCCCUCACCGUUAUCUCUUUCACGCCCCUCCCUGCAGAGUGCACAUUCUGCACACCGUGUCACACUCACACGUAACGGUGCGUCUUCCCGCCAAUGACUAGACGUUGCGGGUGCCCUGCUCUGCCGACCUCUCCCCUCUCCUUACCCGUCCUCACUUCUCAUCGCGCGCUCGUGCGGCAUCGCCCCGCUAACGUCCGCUAG
rnacentral:misc_RNA from 1 species